GGGCGGGUAGCUCAGUGGUAGAGCAGCUGACUUUUAAUCAGCUGGUCGUGGGUUCGAUACCCACCCCGCUCACCA
rnacentral:tRNA from 16 species